rnacentral:rRNA from 1 species
UACGAAGGGUGCAAGCGUUACUCGGAAUUACUGGGCGUAAAGCGUGCGUAGGCGGUUCGUUAAGUCUGAUGUGAAAGCCCCGGGCUCAACCUGGGAACUGCAUUGGAUACUGGCGAUCUGGAGUGCGGUAGAGGGUGGCGGAAUUCCCGGUGUAGCAGUGAAAUGCGUAGAUAUCGGGAGGAACAUCCGUGGCGAAGGCGGCCACCUGGACCAGCACUGACACUGAGGCACGAAGGCCAGGGGAGCAAACGGG